CAGCAGCCGCGGGAAUACAGAGGGUGCGAGCGUUAAUCGGAUUUACUGGGCGUAAAGCGUGCGUAGGCGGCUUUUUAAGUCGGAUGUGAAAUCCCUGAGCUUAACUUAGGAAUUGCAUUCGAUACUGGGAAGCUAGAGUAUGGGAGAGGAUGGUAGAAUUCCAGGUGUAGCGGUGAAAUGCGUAGAGAUCUGGAUGAAUACCGAUGGCGAAGGCAGCCAUCUGGCCUAAUACUGACGCUGAGGUACGAAAGCAUGGGGAGCAAACAGGAUUAGAUACCCCCGUAGUCCCUGUCUCUUAUAC
rnacentral:rRNA from 1 species